rnacentral:rRNA from 1 species
ACCUACGGGAGGCAGCAGUAGGGAAUCUUCCACAAUGGGCGAAAGCCUGAUGGAGCAACGCCGCGUGGGUGAAGAAGGUCUUCGGAUCGUAAAACCCUGUUGUUAGAGAAGAAAGUGCGUGAGAGUAACUGUUCACGUUUCGACGGUAUCUAACCAGAAAGCCACGGCUAACUACGUGCCAGCAGCCGCGGUAAUACGUAGGUGGCAGGCGUUAUCCGGAUUUAUUGGGCGUAAAGGGAACGCAGGAGGUCUUUUAAGUCUGAUGUGAAAGCCUUCGGCUUAACCGGAGUAGUGAAUUGGAAACU